rnacentral:sRNA from 1 species
GCCGGGUGCAAUGGCGCACACCUGUAAUCCCAGCGACUUGGGAGGCUGAGGCAGGAGGAUCACAAGUUCAAAGCCAGCCUCAGCAAAUUCGAGGUGCUAAGCAACUCAGUGAGACCCUGUCUCUA